rnacentral:rRNA from 1 species
UUUUCCUACGGGGGGCAGCAGUCGGGAAUAUUGCGCAAUGGAGGAAACUCUGACGCAGUGACGCCGCGUGCAGGAAGAAGGUUUUCGGAUUGUAAACUGCUUUAGACAGGGAAGAAAAAAGACAGUACCUGUAGAAUAAGCUCCGGCUAACUACGUGCCAGCAGCCGCGGUAAUACGUAGGGUGCGAGCGUUAAUCGGAAUUACUGGGCGUAAAGGGUGCGCAGGCGGUUGAGUAAGACAGGUGUGAAAUCCCCGAGCUUAACUCGGGAAUGGCAUAUGUGACUGCUCGACUAGAGUGUGUCAGG